AUUGAACGCUGGCGGCAGGCCUAACACAUGCAAGUCGAGCGGAUGAAGGUAGCUUGCUACCUGAUUCAGCGGCGGACGGGUGAGUAAUGCCUAGGAAUCUGCCUGGUAGUGGGGGACAACGUUUCGAAAGGAACGCUAAUACCGCAUACGUCCUACGGGAGAAAGUGGGGGAUCUUCGGACCUCACGCUAUCAGCUGAGCCUGGGUCGGAUUAGCUAGUUGGUGAGGUAAAGGCUCACCAAGGCGACGAUCCGUAACUGGUCUGAGAGGAUGAUCAGUCACACUGGAACUGAGACACGGUCCAGACUCCUACGGGAGGCAGCAGUGGGGAAUAUUGGACAAUGGGCGAAAGCCUGAUCCAGCCAUGCCGCGUGUGUGAAGAAGGUUUUCGGAUUGUAAAGCACUUUAAGUUGGGAGGAAGGGCAGUAAGUUAAUACCUUGCUGUUUUGACGUUACCAACAGAAUAAGCACCGGCUAACUUCGUGCCAGCAGCCGCCGUAAGAC
rnacentral:rRNA from 1 species